rnacentral:lncRNA from 1 species
GUGGAUUGGGGAUCAGAAUAGGCGUGGUGAUUUUGAGAGUUACAUGAAUAUUUCAACUUAAGAAUAAAGUUGAAAGAGAGUUUCGAAAAAUAUUUUUCUUAGUUUUUAUUUCUCUUAAAUUUAAAAAAAAAAGUUAAUUUAAAAAAUAUUUUACAAAAUAUAAAAUUAAAAAAUAUUUUUAAGAAAAUAUGUUCCUUUCUUACCCAACACACUCUGUAACAUGAUGCCAUUCUUUGCAAUUGCAUUGUGUUCGGUGAGAGUUGAAACAACACAAAAGACAAAAGGCAAUUGAAGAGCUUCCAAAUUUGAUGUUUCCUCGAAACUUCGCUUAUUUCUAAAGAGGUUACCUGUCACCGAAGUCAGAUUUUUAUACUUUCCUUCCAAAUUAAUCGUUUCAAAUUUUUUAAUUUAAUUUUUUAUUUUACUUAACUUUUUUUCAUUAAACAAAAAAAAAUAUUUUUUUUCAUUUUUUAUCCUUUACAUUAAUUAUUUUUUUUUCAAAUUAAAAUUUAAAUAUCAUUUAAUAGGAGCACUAUGAUAAACUAGUUAUGUUAUUAGUUAUUUUUUUUAAUCAAUGUAUCAUUUCAAUUUGGAAAGAGUAAUUUGAGACGAAGAGAGUAUACUGUAAUUAAUUUAGUUAAGUAUUUGUUUGAUUUUGAUUUGAAAUACAGUAUACGAAUAUAAAAAAUCAUUAAAUAUGUCAUGAAGAAAAAUAAACUUAAAAAAUCAUCAAAAGAGAAAAUAAUUUCAUUUCUAAAUUAAUUAAAAAAAUAUAAUUCAAAUAAAUUAAAAUGGAGAGAGCAGCAUAUGCAUCAUCUCUCCAUCUUACACCCUUUUUGUCAACUAGCUAACCAGUACCCUAUCUCUGUGAUUCUUUUUCAAAUCUCCUAUGAUCCUGCCAAAGUCACACGAUUUCUAGUAAAUGACGUGUGUUCUCCAUCGUGGUGCAUGCCAAAACUAUCAUUCACUCAUAGGCAAAAAAGUACAAUAAUGAUAUAAGACCAUUUGUGGGUAGAAAAGUUAUAAUGAUCAUUUACAAUAAAUAUGAAAAGAUUUCUCAUCUAUCAAAUCAAAUUGAAUGGGAAGAAUUCAAGCAACGAAAAUAUGAGAUAGUGCAAGGAAGAUUAUUUUCAUAUAUAUAGUGCAAGGAAAUUUAUUUUCAUAUAUAAUUGGUUUAGCCAUAUAGUGUUUUGCUACGUACAAAUCAUUAACCAAAGAACUAGUGAUGAGUCGUCUCUUGAUUAUAUUCUUGAACAUAUAAUUGAUUAGUUUAGAAAUUGUGUAUCUUAUGGUUCGUAACCUUUUACAUUUUGCAAAUACGAGAAAACAUUUUAAUUAAAUAUUAAGUCAAAAUAAGUUGUUUGACAUUUGACAAAUGGGAAGUGACAGUAUUUGAAAACCUUAUGUUACCUCCUAUUAGAUUUGUAGACUAAGAAAAAAGUAUAAACGUUUAUCUUUAAUGAGAUAUUUUGAGUCUCCUUUGUUUAGAAAUGUUUACUCUCAAUAUGAAAUUUUUUAACGUAAAUACAAAUUUAAUCAGGCAAUACAAAUUUCUAUUAUAGUGUGAAAAAUCAAGAAAAAGGUAGAAAGUUGUUUACCAUAUUAUUGUAACUGUGGCUUUAAAGUACUUAGUAUGCAUCAUGCAAAUUAUAAACGGUACAUAACACCCAGGAGAGCCAGGCGGGAGCAGGAGGUUCAACUGACUUUUUUUUUUUUUUAUGAAAAUAUAUUGUAUGUUUAAGAUUUAAAUUAUUUUAUGUAUUAUAUCGUAGAUGCUAAAUUUUCAUAAUUUUUUUUGUGUCACUCUUUGGUGAAAAAUCUGUCUUUGACACCGCAAAUCUAACUAAUAGUUAAAUACAAGUUAGGUCUAUCUCCAG